AACGAACGCUGGCGGCAUGCCUAACACAUGCAAGUCGAACGAGACCUUCGGGUCUAGUGGCGCACGGGUGCGUAACGCGUGGGAACCUGCCCUUAGGUUCGGAAUAACUCCCCGAAAGGGGUGCUAAUACCGGAUAAUGUCUUCGGACCAAAGAUUUAUCGCCUUUGGAUGGGCCCGCGUUGGAUUAGCUAGUUGGUAGGGUAAAAGCCUACCAAGGCGACGAUCCAUAGCUGGUUUGAGAGGAUGAUCAGCCACACUGGGACUGAGACACGGCCCAGACUCCUACGGGAGGCAGCAGUGGGGAAUAUUGGACAAUGGGCGAAGGCCUGAUCCAGCAAUGCCGCGUGAGUGAUGAAGGCCUUAGGGUUGUAAAGCUCUUUUACCCGGGAUGAUAAUGACAGUACCGGGAGAAUAAGCUCCGGCUAACUCCGUG
rnacentral:rRNA from 1 species